CAUCCUUAACUAAAAUCAUCCAAAAUCUCGCAUUUUAAAAUAAAAACUUUAAGGAUUCAUACUUGCAAACCUGUACAAGUGUACUGGUGUAAGAUGUCAUAACAUCUAUCAGGACAUCAGUCUGCAAGGAACAUAAGCAACACCUACUGCACAGUUGAUCAAGAUGUCAUGACACCUUGUUCAACAUUAGGUUGUGAUACAUGUUUUCCUAAAUGAAACAUGUUUUACCAAAAUUGUUGCCAAAUCAUAAAAUCACAUACACUAACUAAUGGACGAAUAUCCUCAACCUCCACCGCUCAGGAAAUUUCCUCCUCUGGUGGCGGAGGGGCAAAUCCUUAAACAACGUACUCCACUAGUCUUGUCUUCUCACCCUCUACCAGAAUCCACACUCAACUUAGGCUAAUUCACACUGAAACCACCAAACCAAACUGAAAUUUGUCAAGAACCCUGAACCUAGAUUCAGGAAUUAAAUGGAUAUUAUGAGUAAUCAAAGCCUCUUACGAGAGGGCUUUGAUUACUAAGGCAUGAUGCUACAUCGUGGUGAGCAUAACAAGACGAAACAAGGGGGAAUUGGUGACCUACCUGCCGGAGACGAUGCAGAUGACGAUGACGAUGAAGACAAAAUCUUAGGUGGAAUCAUGAGCUUGUUUGCAGCUGCUUGAUGCUGGUUGAAACAUCCGAUAUUGUUUGGAAUUAAAUGGGGGAACUAGGAUUAAGGCUUAAAUUAGUUGUAUGACUUAUUAACUGGUUUGGUCAUUGUAAAAGAGAUGUAAUGAAUAUGGAAAAUUUAAAGUUGAAUGCAUUGAAUUGGAAUUGAAUUUGUAUAGAAUGUGAAAUUGAAUUGGUAUUGAAUUGUAACUGAUGGUAUGGAAUACAUAUUGAAUGUUGUAUUGGA